AACUGGCCUGCAAAGUCCCGCC
rnacentral:miRNA from 1 species